GGCCGAGUGGCAAGGCGCCAGAUUAGGCUCUGGUCCGACAGGGCGUGGGUUCAAAUCCCAC
rnacentral:tRNA from 1 species